rnacentral:rRNA from 1 species
GUCUAUAUGUAGUUAAUAUAAAGUCUGGCCUGCCCACUGAAUGUUUAAAUGGCCGCGGUAAUUUGACCGUGCGAAGGUAGCAUAAUCAAUAGUCUUUUAAUUGGGGGCUGGAAUGAAUGGUCGUACAAGAAGUAGUCUGUCUUUUUUAUAAUAAUUGAAUUUAACUUUUAAGUGAGAAGGCUUAAAUUUCUUAGGGGGACGAUAAGACCCUAUAAAACUUUACAUGGGUUAGAUGAUUUUUAAAUUUAAGUUUAAUAAGAAUUAUUUUAAUCUUGUUACGUUGGGGCGACGAAAAUAUAAAUGUAACUGUUUAUUAAUUAAAAUAAAAUUAUUUAGUAUAAGUUGGUCCUUUAUUAUGGAUUAUAAGAAUAAGUUACUUUAGGGAUAACAGCGUAAUUUUUUCUGAGAGUUCUUAUCGAUGAAAGUAGUUGCGACCUCGAUGUUGAAUUAAAGUUUCAUCAAGGUGUAGAAGCUUUGACUGUAGGUCUGUUCGACCUUUAAAACUUU